CCUACGGGUGGCAGCAGUGGGGGAUAUUGCACCAUGGGGGAAACUCUGAUGCAGCGACGCCGCGUGGGUGAAGAAGCGCCUCGGCGCGUACAGCCCUGUCAGCAGGGAAGAAAAUGACGGUGCCUGAAGAAGUAGCCCCGUCUAACUACGUGCCAGCAGCCGCGGUGAUACGUCGGGUGAAAGCGUUAUCCGGAUUUACUGGGUGUAAAGGGGGCGCAGACGGCGAUGCAAUCCAGGAGUUAAAGCCCGGGGCCGAACCCCGGGACUGCCCUUGGAACUGCGUGGCUAGAGUGCAGGAGGGGCAGGCGGAAUUCCUGGUGUAGCGGUGAAAUGCGUAGAUAUCAGGAGGAACACCGGUGGCGAAGGCGGCCUGCUGGACUGCAACUGACGUUGAGGCCCGAAAGCGUGGGGAGCAAACAGGAUUAGAUACCCCAGUAGUC
rnacentral:rRNA from 1 species